CGACUACUACAUCUCCUACUACUACUACUUCUACUACUACUACUACUUCUCCUACUACUACUACUACUACUUCUUCUAAUACCAAAACUCAUACUAUUCCUACUACUACAACCACUACGAGUACGACUAAGGGUCUUGAAACCACCAAAACCAAACAUGAAACUACCACGAAAUCUUCAAUUCAUUCUACAACGAGAAAGUCUUCAAACUCAUCCGGAACCAUUGCCGAAACCGGAAAAGUUGCAAAAUCCUCUACAACUCCCAAUCCUUACGGCGAAUCUCUAAUUCCUGCUUGCUACAGCAUCGAAGUGAAUGGAGUGGAACAACUUGGUUGUGCGGAGAUUCCCGACAUAAGCUGCGAGGCCUUGAG